rnacentral:misc_RNA from 1 species
AAUACGACGACUUAUAGAUGUAGUAAUUAACUUAAUACUAUGACGUAUAGUCUUUAAAUACUUAGUCAUAGGUAUUUAAUUUUAAAUAUUUAACUCAAAUAGACUAUUGCAGUCGAGCAUCAUGCAUUAUCACCUAAAAUUUUAUUGAAGUUAUUUCACAAACAAGGAAGAUGAUUUUUGAAAUAUUGUUUUCAGUUUUUCUUGUACACUUGUCAAUUUCUCUCUCUACAGAAAGUUCCAUAACGUGUUUAAAUAAAGAGAAGUUUUCAACUCCAUCUGGCGAUUUAGAUUGCCAACUAUCUUGUCAGUGUCCAUCUGACGAUCAAAAGGAAGUCCGUAGCGUUUACGUCGGGUGUGAAAAAUGUUGCUGUGUUGAUAUGAAUUAUAAACGAAUUGAAAAAGCUCUUCAAGAGACCACCGAAAGACUUAAUUCUACACUGCAUAUAAAUCAAAAAUUAAUAAAAUAUAAUGCCAAUCUAAAGAAAAAAAGUGAAGAAACAGUUAACCAAUUAGAAAACAAAGUAUCUGCUCUCAUCAUAGCUAUUUGUUUAGCAUCUUUUGUAUUGCUCGUAAUUAUUGGAGCCACCAUAUUUAUUUUUCUAUUUAAAAAUUGGUUGAAACAGUUUGAUAUUCCAUUUUCAUAUUUACAAAGCCUGCCUCAUUUUCAUGGAGUGUCUAUUUCUUGCGCUAUUAAAUUUUAAAUUGGAUUUUUGUUUGUGAUAUACUGAUGGCUGAUUGUGGCUAAUAAUAGGUUUUCAUACUUCAAAUGUUACUACAGAUUGUGAAGGUCGUAGAGAGUCGAAAGCCGUCACUGUGGAAAAUAUAGCAUUCUUUAUAAAUGAAACAAAUCUUUGAUGUGUAUAUAUAUUCUUAUUAAACCUUUAAAUUUGACGUUGAGUUACAAGAUAUCAAAAAUCAAUUUUUUGACAGAUUUUGUUGCAGUAUCUUCCAAUCAUUAGCGGAUUAUACGUUUGCUUCUGUUGAUUUUUAGCAAAUCACAUGCUUGCUUAUGUGGAUUUUUAGUGGAUCACAUGUUUGCUUAUGUGGAUCAAAGUUUUAAUUAUUUAUUACAUUAUUUAUUUGCUUCUCCUUGUUUAGUUGCUGCAAAAUAUAUUAUUGUUGUAUAAAUAUAGAUAUAUAUAUAUAUUUUGCAUUUAUUUUACAUUUACUCAACAUUAAUCUGAAAACUAAAUACAUUAAUAGUAUUUAUUAUUAAUUACAUAGAUAUAGAUUUUUAACUUAAUUAUCUAUUUAUUAACAGUAAAGUGUGUUAACCAGGAUAUAAAUUCUAAGGCUGUUUUUCUUGAAACUAUUUAGAGCCUUAACUAGAAUUUUAGUUCCAAAAAAAAAAAAAAGUGUUUUCACAGUUAAGUAAGUCCCUUAUUAUAUACCAUUAGUAAUAGUCCGUUUAACGGACUGUAUAGAGGCUGGUUAACACUCUGUAGUACUAUAUAUAAAUAGCAUUUUGUACUAUGUAUGCCAUAAGUACUAUAUAUAGACAGCAUUUUGUUUUUAUAAUACCGUUAUAUUUUGACAUUUAUUCAAAUUAAAUUUGAUUUGACGUUUUAUUAUUUAAAAAUGUAAUAUAUAGAAAAACAUCAAAACACACACACAU